CGGCAACAUUCUAAUCUGAACAAUGAAGCCUACCCGGAAGUUCGAAAAACUGCAAUACAUCGAAAAUCCGCUAGGGACUGGUCCCAAAAGCGAGCAAAUGUCCAUAGACUCCCAUGUUAAAAUGUCCGUUUUCACAGCGUAAAUACAUGUUUUUAAAGCCUGGUCCCAUGGACUUUUAUUGUACUUUUCGGUAGUUUCCCAGUGCCUGACAACUGUGAGGGGGGUGAAUUUUUUUCUAACUCAUUAGUUUAGAUCACAUUUAGAUAUAAAAUAUAUGAAUAAUUAAGGGCGUGGUCGGCUUGAUUGACGGCUGACGUCGAGGCAUACAGCAGCAGACGUUGCCAGCUGAGUGGAAAGUGGAAACCCUGAAACUUUGACGUCUCAGCCAUGAUUAUACACAAAGUUACCACAUCCUUUCUGAACAUCUUUAUUCAAAAAGCUGACAUAAAAUGGUUUGCUAAGCUAUUAAUUGAAGCCUACUAACCGACACUUUCAGAAGACUUCGUUCCAGUUUUUUCAGUUUCCCUGUAGGUAAUCCAGACAGGCUGGGUGCUGGAGGGCUCUGGACUCCUAACUUCAAUUCUCGUCUGUGCAGUCGACACUCAGAAGCAUGACUUCAGCACUGAUUCCAUGAUCUGGAACAUUUUGAAAUCCUACCAGAUGGGGCAGAAGUCAUUGAGCAGUGGCAGCU